rnacentral:rRNA from 2 species
UACCCGCUGAGUUUAAGCAUAUCAAUAAGCGGAGGAAAAGAAACUAACAAGGAUUCCCCUAGUAACGGCGAGCGAA